rnacentral:lncRNA from 1 species
GGAGGCUUCGCCAGACCUUAACUACUUUAACUGUUUAUCAUAUUUCGUUUAUUCAUAUGUUUAUGGUUAUCAAUAACCUCAGCUAAAGGAAAAAGUCACAAUUGAAUUACUCUGGCUCUUUAUAAGCAAAUAUGUCACAGACUGGAAGUAAACAAUAACACAUGAGGCAUUGCAACGUCAUUGAUGGGACAUUGAGCAGAAAGCCGAAACCACAACUUUGUUUGCAAAAGCAAACAAAAAUUAUCACUGAGUAAUUAUCGCAAAAGUUUAAGAGAAUUUUAAAGACCGAAAUGCUUUGGUCAAACGGAGCACACUCUGGAGAGUCUUGUCUAGAGUCAAAAAUAGUACGAAUUGAUAAGAUUCCAUGCGCCAAGAGAGCUGUCUCGCCUUUUGCUUUGUAUUGGUUUUCAGUAUCUCUCGCUCUCUUUUGUGUUUUUGGGAGUUCUGCAGUUGUCUUGUUCUCGGGUAUCUUGAGAGAAUUCGAGUAUCUUAUCUGACUCACAAAAUGACAUAAAAAAAAGAUUGUCAGCUCUGGCUGUUUCUCUGUUUUUCUGUUUGCUUCGUUGUUGCUUGAAUUAACACCUUUUGCAGUUGUGAUAAUGACGCAGCCAACAACUGCUUGUGCGCUGGUGAUUGGUAAUCAACUGAAAUGGAAACAGAUAUAGGGAAAAACGCUCUUUCACGCUCCCUGCGCCGCCAGUUACCAGUAGUUGAGCGGCGAACGCGUUUCGAAAUGGACACGGACGAGAUAAAAGCGAGCACGGGCCUGGCCCACGAUGAAACCGACUUUACCAGCGGCUACGAGACCCAAUAUCGAAAGGAAUACAGCCCGCUGAAGCCGAUAUAUGUCCCGCCUCCCGAAAAGAAGCAUGCCUGGUUUCGCAAUUGGUCCACCAUCCUGAUGAUCUUCUUCCUGAGCAGCGUCUUCACUGUGGGUACCGUGAUUCUGGUGGUUCAGGUCUUCACGGCCAGCCCUCUGCAUGUCUUCAUCAUCGUUGCCGUCUAUGUGGCCAUUGCGGCGUUUAUGAUAUUUCUGGAGGUCCAGUCCAUCAAAGUGCGGUGAUCCUACCAACGAAAAUCAACACCAAAAACAACACUUCAUUGGUAGCAGUCUGUGACUAAUUUGUUGAGUUAUCGUAUAUAAAUUCCGUGCUAAUAUCCCCGAUUCGCUAUCAAAAUGCUCUUGGUUUGUGUGUUGUGCAAAUAAAUUGAAAGCUUAACAAAAACUUAGCCGUUAAUAACUUAAAUACCCAAGAUAUAAAAUAAGUAUUAAAUAAACAAAAACUCCCAAAAAAGAAACCAACAAAAAUGUGAGUUUUAUUAACUAAAUUUUGCUUAAUACAUAACAUUCACUGAUAAGCAUACAGUUGAUUCCAACAAAAAGCCAUAAAUAAACACAAUCUUGAGAGCGCUAAAUCGACCUAGAUUAGGCUGUUGUUUCUGCUAUCGAAGAGCGGCAACCAACGUGCAGUGGAGUACAUGAAAUGGCUGUCAAUAAUUUGUGAAAUUUAAUUACAAAUAAACUCAUAUUUGCCUAGCAACGAGAGCCAACAAGUGCCCAAGAUACAUACAUAUGUAUACCACUUGUAUACUUACACUCGAUGCAUGUGUCUAAUUAAUUAAUUUAAUAGCCCUAGCACAAUGGGCAAUUGAGACAAUGAGCCAUUACCACAUCAGUGAUAUGCAUUCAGUUAUGAAUGAAUUAUUUGGCUACAAGCAUUAGCUGCAAAUACCUUAAAAGCUUAAAGCAGACGCCAAAAUGUUGUAGGAAACCAUCUGUUCUCAGUGCAAAACAUUCUCGAUAACAAAUUUUGUUUCUAAACCUGCAACUUUCCCUGCAAAAAAUAUUCUAAUUCCUAUGUUCCCCAGCAAAUUUUAUUUCUAACCAUUUUCUAAAUAUUUUCACUCGGGAAAUUAUUUCCAAAUCACUUCUGUAAUUGCUUUUCACAUGCCACCAGUUAAAAAACUCUCCCCUUCCGCGGGCUAUUUUCGUUAUUUUUACAACAAUUUUCUCGCCUUGCAGCUGCAGCCUGUGCUCCUGUCAUCUGGUUGGUAAAAUUCUAGUUUAAUAGCUGGCAAUGCUACCAGCAUUUGGGUGGCAUAAAAAACUAGAACGACAAGCUCAUCCAGCACUUCCACAUGCGAAUCGCAGCUAAAAGAAAAAAAACUGAACGCGUUGGCCCAUUAAACUUUAAUUUCCGUUGACAAUGGGCGACAGUUUUUUUAUGUGUCACCCGCUUCUUUGAGACGAGGGCAACAGCUGACUUACCUUAAUUACUCACAGGACUCCUAGCCAUGCUAAUUAUUUGCAGGGUGCACUAUUUGUGCGCCAGACUAUGUCCAGACCUGGGAAACGGGAACCAGCGUGGCCAGCGCAUUUAAUUAUAACCCCGAGGAGGGCGCUUGGCUUGAGCAUUAAUUCCAUUUCCGGUCGCCGACAACCGAGGACCGUGUCGCGUCUCCUGGCUAGCUACACUUUUUUGCAAAAGCAAAAACAUUGCCUUUUGCUGCUAUACCCUGUUAAUGAGAGGUUUUUGUUGGGGUAGUCCUAAUAAAAGUACGUUUAACACUUAUAUUUUUCCCCCGACUCAUUUCAUCUGCAACGAGCACAAUAUCCUGCACCCAUUUCAUGCAUUCACCUCUUGGGUAUCAUGAAGUUCAGCUCUAACUACACAUGCUACAAUUUACUCAGCUUAACACUCCCUGUCUGACAGGAAAAGAGCAAAAAGACGAUCUGAUUAAGGUAAUGCGCCAAGUCAAAGCCUUGUUUAAGCUAAUUUUUUGAGACUGGAACAUAUAAAUCGGGAUUUGUGUGAAUUUAGUGCUCUCAUUUUGUUGUGCGAGAAUUGUGCAAAUUGCAACCGUUGCAAAAAUAUAUUCAACAUGCACAUGAGUUAUUUUUGCAUUGAUUUAUUGCUUAUAUGCCUUCUGGCUCAAUAUUGCACAUAAAAGGCAUUUAAACAAAAGCUGUCUUAUAUUUUAUUUCACAUUUAUUUGUAGAUUUUUUUCCUUUUUUAGGACAUUUAAAAAAAGCCGGCCAUGGUUGAUUUUUGCAUAGGCAAACGAACACAUUUAAUUUUAUUCAGAGUUUAUACAAAGCUUCGAAACAGCCAAAGGAGAAAUCUCGAAUGAAAGCAAGCUGGGAAAUUGUUACCAAAAUGCAUCUAAAGGCCAAGACAUGUGGCUAUUGCCGAGGGAAAUGUCUUGGAAUUUUAUUUAAGUAAAUCUAAGUUGGACGCUUUUCAUUAGCUCACUCAGCGAGUACCAAGAAAAGCAAAACUCAAAAAACAACAAGAAAAGGAUAGUAAAAAUAAAGGAAAAUAAAAUGCAUGCUAGAUGGUGUCCUCCUCAAUGUGUUAUCCUAUGGGAAUCACGUAGAGUUCUUAGAGUAAAUAAAAUACAAAUGCCAACUGACACUCCUCAGAGACUCGUUUUAUUCGUAUUCAACUCUGUGCAACAAUUUAAUAUGGUUUGGUUCGACUCAACAAUUGUAUUGCAAGUGGCUUGGAAAUGCAUGGCCAUUUUAUGUUAAUUAUUUAUGCAAAUUUCGCAAACUUAUGCGCUCUUAUUUUAUAUCCACACACAAUUUAUAAUUCAAUUACCAGACUACAAAGUGUAACCGCGUUAAUAAAACAACACAAAAAUGGACUCACUUUCAAUUAAAGCUGUCGCUUUUCCACACUUCAGUUGCAAAUAAUUCAAUUAAAAAGUCUUUAAAGAACUAUUGUUCAAUGGCGAAUAUUUUACUGUAAGUUAAAGUAGAUUCAGGGGGUAGCAUUCAGCCCGUCCCAGCAACAUUUGAAUAUUCAAUUAAGUCUAACUGCCAAUUCUGUGAUAAGCUCUCCAACCCGGAACACAGACAAUUCUUCUGGACCUGGGUGACUAGCCUUGGAACAUGGCCUACUGGCAAUAAUUUCUGUUGGAACCAUAAAGGAUGACACUUUCCAGCAUUAAGCGAGGAUCAACAUCAACAGCAUAAAGCACUCUGCAAAUGGUACACCACUUGAAUGAACAUUAAAGCUGUUCUGGGUCGCUGUGGAAAGUCAUCCAGAAAGAAUGAAAUAUGAAAGAACAUAGUCCAUACUGUGCUUAAUUUUCUUAAAAAAAAAUCAGUGGAAAAAGUAUCUGUUAGCACUUGCCUUUAACUAUUCUUUAAACCACUGUUAAAUCAAGUAAAUUUGUAUUUAUUGCACUGAGAUUUACACUACGAAUAUUCGGUAGAGUAACAAGCAUGUCAAAGCAUUUUUGUGACAUCCUUUAUUUAUUUUAUAACCAACAAAGGCCAAAAAGUCGAGAGAGCGCAAACAGCAUGCAUAAAUUACCGCAAGAAGAGCCGAGAAAGACCAAACUCCUCGAUGUCGGACUGGACCUGGUCCAGGUUCUCGUCCUCAUCCUCGUCCUGCCACUGCCUCUCUUCGUGCUCCUCCAUGGCAGUGCUAAAAAUGUGUUGAAAUAUUAAAAAAGAGGCCAAAGCGAAAACUGUGGCCAAAUGCAGAUGAGCAGGCACAAAAUUCUCUUCUAUUUGCAACUAUUUGGACACUUUCUCUGCUCUUUUUGUUGCUGUUUCUUCUUUUCUGUGUUGUUGUUGGCAUUUGUAGAAUGCUAAAAAGGCCACUUUAGUUUUAACCACAAAGUUUGCUUCGGUGUAUGUGUUGUCGACCUCGUUGCACUUUUUGGAAGGCUUAGAGAAGCCUGGGGGCAUCGCUCUUUCAUGUCAUUUAACUAUGUUUCAGUCAGGAGGACAAUUGUGCUCAGGUCUGGUCCGGUCCGAGUAUUAGUCCAAGGCCAGCCCCCAGUCCCAGUCCCAGUCCCAGUCCCUGCCAAACCGAUUCAACUUAGUCCUCAGUCAGGCAGGCGUUGAUUGCCAGGCAUUUAAAGUGUUUUCAAUGUAAAUCUAUGUAAAUACAUGCUGUUAAAUAAAAGAGCAACUCUGGUCCAUGGGCCGGAAUGGAAACUUUCGACUGGAUAAAUUGUAUAGCCAUAUUUGUUUGUUUUUGCUAGCUCAAUGCACGUUCCCAAUGGUAGUACCCCAAUGCCCCCAUGUGAGCACUCUUCCUCAGACGAUUCGUAAGACCUUAAGCCAGUCGCUCUUUAAGCCGUAUUUAUGCACAGCUUUUGGUCCAUGUUUAGCUUUCAUUUCCCUUUCUUUUUUAAAUACCCUUGCAGGGAGUACUGUGACUUUUAGGCUUAUAAAGUCUCUGACAUCAGUCCAACAAAAGUUGGCUGUGGAAAAGUGCCCAAUUCGUAGCAUAAUACAAAAAUCUUUGUAACAUUUUUGAACUGUCACUAGUCAAUAUGGCAAAAUGUAAAAAAUGUAAGAAAACUAAAGCUUAUAAAAGAAGGCUACAAAAUUACUCGAGUAAUACGCAAAAAGCUCUCGGUUUGACCAAUAAUGGAUUUUGGAACUUCUUGCGGGAGUUCAGAAGGAAGCAUUACAGGCUGCCGCCAAAAACUUUGAUCCCACAUGGCACCAGGGCUUGGUGUAAGCUCACAAGCAAACAGAAGGAAAAGUAUACCAAAAUGGUAAUAAAGAUUAUAUUUUGUUAUAUUUUGUACUUAUCUUUCAAUUAUAUUCAACAGAAACGGGCCGCGUGGGAACAAGAUCUUUCGUUACUGUGUUUAUGGCAGAUUUUUAAACCCAAACCCCUUACCGUGGCCUCACUUGAUCCAUAUCAAAGCAGCAAAAUAACCAAACAAAUACUUCUUUAAUAUUUUGUGUAUGUCAAAUUUCAAAAUCUGUAAUAGCAUUCAAAUUUCCCCAUCUGAUUAUGUGCCGCCAGUGUUUCUAAUGCAACGACAGUCGAAAAUAAAUUUCAUUUCCUA